rnacentral:lncRNA from 10 species
AGUCCCCACCUGACCCAGAAGCCCAGCUGGCUUCACCUCUCAAUGGCACUCGCCGCGGGACUUUGCGGCACCUAGCUUGGGCACUCUAGCAGCCCAGAGGGAGCUCGUCCCCCAUCAAGCCCAGCAGGCACCCACCCGGAACCGCGCGUAGCCCAGGCUCCUGCCGGCGCCUCUCUCUCUACACCUCCCUGAGAGCAGAUGGAGCCGGCUCCGGCCUCUGCCAGCCGCAGAGAGGGGCUCCCACAGUGCAGCAGCGGGCUGAAGGGCUCCUUGAGCACGGCCAGAGCAGACGCCGAGGCCGAGGAGGCGCCGAGAGCGAGCAAGGGCUGCUAGGACGUUGUCACCUCUCAAUAGGAGAAAGCUAUCUAAUAUUUAAUGUAUUUAAGAAAAUGGUGCAAAUGUGGUAAAAUUGUAAGAUGUGCUUUUAGCAAGAAAGAGUUUCUGUUUGGAGGGAUAAACUUCAAGGCCUUUGUGAAGACCAAAAUGGCAUACAAUUUUCCUGAUAAAUGCAGUAAAGUGUAACCAAAAAUUUAACCUCUUAAAUUUGAAUUGAGGUUGGGUGUGGUGGCUCACAUC